ACCCUCUCAGGGUCACACCUGGAGAGUUUCCAGUACUCUACCAUUCUCAGCUACAGGAAGGAGAGUCAAGCAGAGGCCUACCCAUUCCAUUCCUAGCUUGGGCAGUGGCUAGUGUGUGGAAGGCACCCUGCUACAAGU
rnacentral:snoRNA from 1 species